AUUGAACGCUGGCGGCAUGCCUUACACAUGCAAGUCGAACGGCAGCACGGGAGCUUGCUCCUGGUGGCGAGUGGCGAACGGGUGAGUAAUACAUCGGAACGUACCCUGAAGUGGGGGAUAACGUAGCGAAAGUUACGCUAAUACCGCAUAUUCUGUGAGCAGGAAAGAGGGGGAUCGCAAGACCUCUUGCUUUAGGAGCGGCCGAUGUCGGAUUAGCUAGUUGGUGAGGUUAAAGGCUUCACCAAGGCGACGAUCCGUAGCGGGUCUGAGAGGAUGAUCCGCCACACUGGGACUGAGACACGGCCCAGACUCCUACGGAGGCAGCAGUGGGAAUUUUGGACAAUGGCGCAAGCCUGAUCCAGCCAUGCCGCGUGAGUGAAGAAGG
rnacentral:rRNA from 1 species